rnacentral:rRNA from 1 species
UACGUAGGGGGCAAGCGUUGUCCGGAUUUAUUGGGCGUAAAGAGCGUGUAGGCGGCCAGGUAGGUCUGCUGUGAAAACUCGAGGCUUAACCUCGAGCUGGCGGCGGAAACCAUCUGGCUAGAGUCCUGAAGAGGAGAAUGGAAUUCCCGGUGUAGCGGUGAAAUGCGCAGAUAUCGGGAAGAACACCCGUGGCGAAGGCGGUUCUCUGGGACGGUACUGACGCUGAGACGCGAAAGCGUGGGGAGCGAACAGG